rnacentral:snoRNA from 1 species
AAGCUGGAGGAUGAUGAUCUGGCCUCAUACAUCUUAUUGGGGCUGGACAUCGAAUACAACCCAUGUGUGUCGGCUAUUGCCACCAGGGUUGAACCGAUCUCGCUGGGAGAAUUGUAUACCUAGCUGGUCGGGUUUGAGC